rnacentral:rRNA from 1 species
GUCAUCGGCAUUUGCAGAGAUGGCUUAGUGCUCGAAAGAGAACCGUAACACAGGUGCUGCAUGGCUGUCGUCAGCUCGUGUCGUGAGAUGUUGGGUUAAGUCCCGCAACGAGCGCAACCCUUGUCAUUAGUUGCUACAUUUAGUUGGGCACUCUAAUGAGACUGCCGGUGACAAACCGGAGGAAGGUGGGGAUGACGUCAAGUCCUCAUGGCCCUUAUAGGUGGGGCUACACACGUCAUACAAUGGCUGGUACAAAGGGUUGCCAACCCGCGAGGGGGAGCUAAUCCCAUAAAACCAGUCGUAGUCCGGAUCGCAGUCUGCAACUCGACUGCGUGAAGUCGGAAUCGCUAGUAAUCGUGGAUCAGAAUGUCACGGUGAAUACGUUCCCGGACCAUGUACACACACAGAAAUGU